UACAGAGGGGGCAAGCGUUGUUCGGAAUUACUGGGCGUAAAGGCCGCGUAGGCGGCCUGCUAAGUCGAACGUGAAAUCCCUGGGCUCAACCCAGGAACUGCGUCCGAUACUGGUUGGGCUUGAAUCCGGGAGAGGGACGUGGAAUUCCAGGUGUAGCGGUGAAAUGCGUAGAUAUCUGGAGGAACACCGGUGGCGAAGGCGACGUCCUGGACCGGCAUUGACGCUGAGGCACGAAGGCCAGGGGAGCAAACGGG
rnacentral:rRNA from 1 species